rnacentral:lncRNA from 1 species
CAAUAUCUUUCACCAUGAUAUGCUCUAUAUGUUGAAUAGUUACGGUGGCCUUGUAACAUGAUUCCUCAAACAAUGCAUGCAGGUACUUCAUCUUGAUUGAUGAUAUCUGGAAUGUAUCAGAUUGGGAGCUUGUAGAAGCUGCCUUACCUCGCAAUGACAACGGAAGCAGAAUAAUUACUACAACACGCAGUAAAACAGUAGCCGAAACAUGUGCUGGUAUUGACGCACAAAUGUACAAAGCAAAGCCACUUGGUGAUGACGAAUCUCGCAGAUUAUUCUUUAAAAGGCUAUUUCACUCAACUGAACAUUGUCCCCAAGAUUUGAUGGCAGUAUCCAGUGAUAUUUUGAGGAAAUGUGGGGGAUUACCAUUAGCCAUAAUCAGUAUAGCUGGUUUAUUAGCAAACAGAAGCAAAACCAAGGAAGUCUGGGUCAAUGCAUUGAAGUAUAUUUCUGCUGCAGUUGACAGAGAUUCUCACAUUGAUAAAAUGAAAAGAAUUUUUCUGCUUAGUUACUUUGACCUUCCUCUUUAUCUAAGGAGCUGUAUGUUAUAUCUGAGCGUGUUCCCGGAGGAUUAUUUGAUUGAUUGUAGACGGUUGAUAUUGUUAUGGGUAGCCGAAGGACUGAUUCCUGGACAAGGCAGAGAAAAUAUGGAGCAGCUUGGGAGGAGUUACUUGAAUGAGCUGAUCAAUAGAAGCUUGGUCCAGCCAAUCAAGGUUGGGGCAGAUAGCGCAACAGUGAAAGAGUGCAGAGUUCAUGAUGUCAUACUUGAGUUUAUUGUAUCAAAGGCUGUGGAGGACAAUUUUGUUACUGUAUGGAAUCGUAAUGGAUUUUCUGAAAAUUAUUCUUCUAACAAGAUUCGCCGUUUAUCUAUCCAACAUGACAUUUCUAGGCGGCCUGAAGAGAUGGUGAAGAUAAAAGAACAUGCAGCUCAUAUUCGAUCAAUCAAUAUUUUUGACCCUAAUUCAGUGCUGCUAAUUAAAAACACCUCUAUGUUUUUAAGUAGCCAAGUCUUGCGAGUGCUGAAUACAGAAACUCGGGUGGAGUUACUUGAAGAUUGCUAUCUUGGACAUGUAAAAAGUUUUGGUCAAAUGAAGUACUUGAUGUUAGAAAUUUGGUCAUCAACAUGCCACUGCAAACUCCCAAAAGAUAUAGAAAAGCUGCAACAUCUAGAGACACUAGAUGUUAGGUGGUGUACCGGCAUUGAUAAACUACCGGCUAGCAUUACCCAACUGCAGAGAUUAGUGCGUCUUCUUGUCGGUGCUAAGGUAAAACUACCUGAUGGGAUUGGAAAUCUGCAGGCAUUGGAAGAGCUAUCACUGAUCAGUUUGGGUUUUCAAACUAUCAAGUUUAUCCAAGGGCUCGGCGAUCUGACCAAUCUAAAGGUACUUGGAAUUGAUUGGUGGUACCCUUAUGCAGUCGUAGUACGUCACGUGGACGUGGAAGGCCACAAGGAAGCAUGUAUCUCAUCACUCUCCAAGCUUGUCACAACCCUUCGAGAACUGCACGUCGUGCAGAGUGCUCGUGAUGACAGACUUUCAUUCAUGGCUUCGUGUGGCUCUACUCCACCACCCCUUCGGAGGCUUGUCUUUCACGAACGUCGUGGACCAAGUGUCGUCCCCCAUCAAAUCAUCAGCUCGCUAGUCAACCUGACCCGCCUCAGUAUUGGACUAGUAAGCCAGGAAGGGAUAAAUAUCCUAGCAAGUUUGCCCAUGCUCCUCUCUGUUACUGUUCGCGUUUCGGGUGAUUCUGGAAUCAGGUAUACAAUCAGCAGUCAAGGAUUCCAGUGUUUAGUCAAGUUUAAUUUUGACUGUUUUCAUGGGGGGGCGUUGGAGUUUGAGCCAGGAGCCAUGCCAAAGCUCCAAAGGCUCAUGCUGUGCCUGGAGGCACGGGGUCAGUUCAAUUUUGAGCAAGGCGGCCUCGUCCUUGGGCUGCAGAAUCUGGCAGGCCUCAGAUAUGUUGCUCUUCGUAUUCACUGUUCGCGUGCUACUCCUGACGAGGUGCAGGAUUUGGAGGAUGACAUCAGGGUUGCAGCAGGCGCCCAUCCCAACCGUCCCGUGCUCCAGCUGGUCGCAAAAAUAUAUCAAGAUUAUAUGGCUCAAGGGUGCAGCAGGCGCCCACGCGACCAUCCCAUGCUAGAAGCACAAUGACAAGUAAAGGCAUGGUGUGGAGAAUAAAUAUCAUUAUCAAUGAUGAUCUUUUUUUUCUAUUUCAAGAGCACGUUGGAAUUAAACAAGGUUAAUUCGAUUUGUUUUCAUCUUAGUUUUUACUUUAUGACAACAUGUGUGCGCAUGCAGAUUGGCCUCUCGGAUCUAUGGAGUGCUGAUAUGUGUUGCUUGAUAUGAUGGUGUUGUGUUGAGGUGGGUUUGGGAUGAGUGCUCGGAGCGAAGGCAUUUGCCCUUCGCCGGCCAACGAUGCUGACGCCUGUUGGUGCCACAUCCCUCUCUAUUGACUACUACGGAGUGACUACGUUAAGCUCUUCCUCCAUAUAUGGAUUGUAGGUUGUUAGGUAAUUUUGAGACGUAUGUUGAGUUUAAGAUGUUACUGGAUCUCUUUCUUCUUUCUUUCUUUUAUAUUUCCUUUUGACAAGGUUGUGUGUUGUUGCAUAGGCGGCUGGAAUCUAAGCUUUCUUCAUCCAAAAGAAGAUUAUAUAAAACAACCAGAAAGAAACAAAAGGGGAGCGGUUAAUCUCCUUGGGAUUGGGGGGAUGGGGAUUUUGAUUGGUAGGGGAUGUUUUGAAGGAGGAUGUGCACCUCAACAUAAGUAACAUGGAAUCUGUGGGUACACUUUUGGCAACAUACCUUCAAACCACGUUCUAUGCAACAAUAAUCUUGUGCAAACCAUAUAUAGCUAUGCCCACCAUUUCUAGACCAAUGUUCAAUAGACUACCAUAUGCAUAUGAACGUGCACGAUGGAUAUUAGACACAAAACAUAGUAGUAGUAUAACUUGCACAAAACUACAUUUAUGAUCUUUUGUAUUUGAGCCAGGAAGUUCUUUCAAAAGAUAACCCACAAGAAAGCACGCACUGGUCUUGUUGUGCACUAUACGUUAGGUGUUGCAAUUGCAUAUAAUCUCUUUUAUUUAGUUAGUUUGAACAACCGUGCAUGGCUAGGCACUUCCGAAAGUCUUCACUUCAAGUACUUGUCAAACCAGUCGAUCAUUAGACCAAGAGCUUGCUCAGCAGUUUUGACAGCAAAAGGGUCGGUGGUAUUAUAUCUGCAAGCAAAUCCAUGUGCAACUCCUGGAAAGACCUUGGCGUAGUAGGGAAUCUGCAAACAACCAAUGCCACAAAAAUGAGCUUUUCCAACUGAUAUAUAGUAUCCUCUAUGACGGAAUCACUAGGAACUCACCUCUGUUCUAUGACGCAAUACACUCACAUACUGGUACACUAGUUUUGGCGGUGCGACUUCGUCAUAUUGAGCUCCAAGGAUCUCGAUUGGACAUUUAACCUCUGUUUUGAAUGGUCAUAUAGUUAGCAUACGAAAUUAAGCACUUAAGUUCAGUUCCAAAGACAUCUCAAUCGAUGCUGUCUGGGAGGUUGCAAACACAAAGAAAAGGAGCAAACCUUUCAUGUCAUCAGUAGUCACAAUGUAAGGAUGAGAAAUGGAAACUACUUUAACAUCACUGCUUUUCCCCAUCUCCACACUGAAUUUUAUGCUAGCUGGAAUUUCAAUCACCACCCCAGCAAUAACCUCCCACCCCGAUGGACUUUCCUUCCUUUUUUAAAGCAGCAAAGAGUGGCUUGGCGUCUUUGGCAGCUUUUACCUGCCAGAUCGAUAUAUUUUCAACUCAUGAUGCAAUGAGCAUUAGAUGAAAUUUGAUAGGGACAUGGAACAGACCGGGGAGUGAAGCACUCAUGAUCCACUCUGAAAUGUUUUUACUUGAGUCUAAAUAAUCUCCAUUGAAGAAAUCAGGCACCACAUCAAAGUAUCCAGCCUCGCGAACUUUAUCGGCUAUCUGUCUGCAUCAUUAAAAGAUCAAGAAAGGGAUGAACAAUAGCUAGUACAGAAAGGGAUUCUUGCUUCGUUGUACUCCAAACAAAAUGCAAUCUAUCUCAUAUGAGAAUUAACUUUCACCGGAUUGUCUUUUUUGGAAAAAAAAACUGUACUGUAUUUUACUCUGUACAGAAGCACAAAGCAUUGUUAUUUUUUCAAAAAAAAUAUAGUCAAAUAAAAUUUGCUCUAGUUCUUCAAAAUCUCUAAAAUCAUUUGUUGAUAUUUAAAAGCAUUUUGCUAUGGUUAUGAUUGCGUUGCUACUUGCUACAAACAUCAUAAGGGAGUACUAAGCAGGAAAAAUCGAAAGCAUGCCAGCCGAAUGAUCUAGUUCUUCAAAGUCUCUAAAAUCUGGAGAGAUGCUAGUUGACCAAGAACACAGCAUUUUGAUCUACGAUAGUAAGCCUGAGUAGAGCAAGAAAGAACACAAAAUUUGGGAAUUAAAAGACCGUAGAUAUAUUUAUGUACCUGAGUAAAGGUGCCUCGAACCCUGAGGAAAUCAAUCAAAUAGUGGAGAAAAAUUUCCUAUCAAAACGUACGCCCAAAUUGACUAGAAACUGCAGAAGUGUAGCACUACGGUCGAAACACCAACUGAAAACAUCGGAGCCUAUAAAAAUUCUCAACAAGAACAAGGUCUAUGUCCCAAAUGCAACCCCAAAGCACACAACACGUUGUAUCGUCAAGAUGACGCAAGUCAACUCGUGACAAGCUCACCCUAGGAACGAUACACGUAUCGAAAGCAAAGCUCAAAGUGAUCCGAAUACGUGCAUGACAUGGCGGAAGCAGAACAUAAAGUGACUCACAAUCAGAUUCAAGCAAGCCCACAAAAAACUUACUCAACUAAGCAUAAUUAGCAAGAGAUAAAACACAUUAAGUACUCAAGCAAGUGAACAAGUAUUAGUUGGCUAAGUUUUAGGAUUAACAGAGGAUUAGAAAAGCUAAUUUAACACCGAACAACCAUGGAUUAGAACAGUGCUAUCAGCCAUGUGCAAGAACUAAUAAUGAUUACUCAAAUCAUUGAUCACUGUAGCUAGAAAGCAACUCUUCAUGGCAUGAAGGCACUACCCAGGGCCGGUCUUGAGAUUUGGGAGGCCCGGGACGAAAGUAAAACUCGGACCAUUUAAUAUAAUAUUGAUAUAUAUAUGAAAUAUUACAAAUAAAUACUUAAAUGCAUCUAAAAACAAUAUUCAUAUUGAAUUAGGGGGUGUUUGGGAACACCGUGCUAAAUUUUAACACCUAUCACAUCGGAUGUUUGGAUACUAAUUAGGAGUAUUAAACAUAGUCUAAUUACAAAACUAAUUGCACAGAUGGAGUCUAAUUCACGAGACGAAUCUAUUAAGUCUAAUUAGUCCAUGAUUUGACAAUGUGGUGCUACAUUUGCUAAUGAUGGAUUAAUUAGCCNNNNNNNNNNNNNNNNNNNNNNNNNNNNNNNNNNNNNNNNNNNNNNNNNNNNNNNNNNNNNNNNNNNNNNNNNNNNNNNNNNNNNNNNNNNNNNNNNNNNUCCAUCUGUGCAAUUAGUUUUGUAAUUAGCUCAUGUUUAGUCCUUCUAAUUAGCAUCCGAAUAUCCGAUGUGACCCUGCUAAAGUUUAGCACCUCGUAUCCAAACACCCCCUUACUUAUAUAUAUUACCUUAAAAGUUUCUUCUAACAUUCCUCGAAGCAAAGUCACUUAUGAUAGGGUUGAUGUCAAUCUCAUCCAACAAUUUCUUCUCAAUACAUAAUGUUGCCAAACCAUUUAACCUCUCCUGAGUUAUUGUUGACCUCAAAUAGUUCCUCAAUAACUUCAACUUUGAAAAACUUCUUUGAGCCGAUGCGAUAGUCAGACAUAGUAAAUAAGAGUCGGUAAGCAACUUUCAGCCGAUGCGACAGUCAGACAUAGUAAAUAAGAGUGGGUAAGCAAUGGAGAUAUUAGGAUAACAAUCCACAUCUCUGACAUGCUCAAAAAUCUCCAUAGUAGACAUUACGCCAUCUGGCAAAGUGAAUUUUAUAAUCUUUAAUUCAGAAAUAAGAUCAUAUACCUCAACAUCAUAUGAAACAUCAAAAGACAACAUGAUAUUCCACAGUGCUGAAAUUAUUACAAAUACACAAUAGUUAUAAAUCAGAUGAAAUUAAAUAACUUGUGAUACUAAAUUAAUAAUUAAUGGUAUAGAAAAUUAGGAAAUUGGUAAUCGAGUAGUGUACCUGGUGCCGGCGCAGUUGAAUAGGAACCGUCUAAUCUCAUCCGGCAAAGUUGAAUAGGAACAGUCUAAUCUCAUCCGGCAAAGUCGAACAGUAAAUAGAAUAACACGCGCACGAGACACAACUCUGGAGGGAUCACCGGGCGCAGCCGCACAGCACGGCAGAUGCGGCAGCAGGGCAGCUUUUGGCGGCAGCGCUAGGGCGUACGGUGUGCGAUCUAAUUGUUGAGGCGCCGGCCUUUAGGAAAUACAGGCAUGAUCAUUAGCCUGACACAGGUGGGGCCUGGUAUUUUGUUUCGUUUCUUCCUAUUAGGGCCUCCGAUUGUUUAGGGGUUGUUUGGAUACGAGGUGCUAAACUUUAAAAGUGUCACAUCGGAUGUUUGGAUGCUAAUUAGGAGGACUAAACAUGAGCUAAUUAUAAAACUAAUUGCAGAACCUUAUGCUAAUUCGCGAGACGAAUCUAUUAAGCCUAAUUAAUCCAUCAUUAGCAAAUGAUUACUGUAGCACCACAUUGUCAAAUCAUGACUAUUUAGCUUAAUAGAUUCGUCUUGUGAAUAAAUUCCAUUUUAUGCGUUUAUGUUUUUGAAUUAGUUAUGUUUAGUACUCCUAAAUUAGCAUCCUUACAUCCGUUGUGAUGGGGUUAAAUUUAAUAGGCUUUCCCAACCCCCCCGUUAUUGUUGGUUUUUCACUAUUUUGCUCCGANNNNNNNNNNNNNNNNNNNNNNNNNNNNNNNNNNNNNNNNNNNNNNNNNNNNNNNNNNNNNNNNNNNNNNNNNNNNNNNNNNNNNNNNNNNNNNNNNNNNUUCUGCAAUUAUAUUUAUUGGCCUUCAUUAGUAGGGCAUAUCUAGAUAAGAUCAUAUUUGUUACAUCUGAUGUUAGGAAGCUUUUCUGUUCUAUGCUUUAAUGCAAUAUUAGCCAUGCGCUGUUUGCAGCAAUUCAAUGUUGCAAUGAAAUUUGGACCAUGUAGAUGUUAUCCUUCGUUGAGCUUAAGACAGAUUCAGUGUACAAUUUCACUGCACUAUUACCAAGACUAGAAACUAGGUAACUGUACUUGUUGAGUGUUAUGGGGAUGAAACUCCUCUGACAUAUGAUCUGGUCUGGCCACGACGCAUCAGCUACUCCUGGGUCGAAAGCUCCAGACGACUGCUAGCGAUCAGCACCUGGGGCAGCCUGCCAACUCGCUGGGCUACCAGCCUGCGAAGGCUGCUGGGCCGCUGCUUGCUUCCACCGGCCCGCGUGCCGCUCACUGUGAAUGGCCUGGCAGCAAGUGUAGUGCUGCUCUGUCCCCUGCGCACACGAACAGAAGGAAACGAAGAACAGAGAGAAGAACAGCAAGAACACCCAAGAACACACGUAACUUCGAAUUGUGAGAUCUCCUUCCGCACUCCACGCAUCAAGAUGAAACUUGAACCAAGGAUGCACUACCCCUAGGACAAAUAGAUCCAUGAGACAAAUCACGAAAAUCUCAAGUAUUCAUCGCAAAUCUUAGGGAAAAUCAAAACCCUAACUCAAACUUGGUUUUGGAAGAAACUCAAAAUUCAAGUCGGAUUCGUGAGAUAUUUGGAAGGGGAUCAUAUCAAAGAAGCUCCAACAUUGCCCUUUAACCAAACUCACGAGAUUCGGGCUCCAACAAGAUGAACGAAAAUUCUCAAAAAUGAGUCCGAAAAUAGGAAAAAAGAAAAAUGCUCGGGAACAAAGAUUUUACAUGAUUAACAAACCACACUAAAUCAUGAGAGCAUCUUCUUUACAAAAGAGGGCUAGCCUCCUCCCUUCAUCUACCCACUAAAAGAUGAAGAAAUCAAGAGAAAAGAGUAAUCACUCUCUAAUCUCCCUCUCUCCUCUCACUUUAAGCAUAUGACUAGCCUCUAAGCCAAAAGAUAAUGAGUUGCUAAGCAAAGAGGUGCUGAAUAACCAGCCCCCCAUCCCGACGAAAGACUAUACUACCCCUACAGCUAUAACUAAGAUAACUACCCACGUAGGGGCAUUUUGGUCCAAGUUUUUAUCCGCGCUAAGACUAUACUACCCCUAUAGCUACAACUAAGACUAUAAUGUUUCCUUUUCGCGGUCGAAAAAGAUUAGAUAGAUAUUUUGUACGGUAGUUGCUCAUCACUCCAAUUAUGUACACUUCUUCGCGUGUUAGGUCCCGUUUGGAUACCCUACUAAAGUUUAGCACCUGUCACAUUGGAUGUUUGGAUCCUAAUUAGGAGUAUUAAACAUAGGCUAAUUAUAAAAUUAAUUGCACAGAUGGAGUCUAAUUCACGAGACGAAUCUAUUAAGCCUAAUUAGUUCAUGAUUUGACAAUGUGGUGCUACAGUAACCAUUUGCUAAUGAUGGAUUAAUUAGGCUUAAUAGAUUCGUCUCGCGAAUUAUACUCCAUCUGUGCAAUUAGUUUUGUAAUUAGCUUAUAUUUAAUACUCCUAAUUAGCAUCCAAACAUCCGAUGUGACGGGUGUUAAACUUUAACAGCUGGUUGCCAAACAUGCCCUUAAGAUGGAGUUGUUAUUGGAUAUGCGGAAAAGUAGGGAACCAAGUUGGACAACUGUUGGAGCUUUGGUUUUUCACCUUGGUUACCAAAACUAGUCAAUGAAACCAUAUACCGAGCACUCUUGGAGAUGCUAUAACUGAUGAUCUAGUACAUACUAUAUCUUGAACAUUAUUUUUUUAAAUCUGGUAGCGACUCAAAACCUCUUUUAAUUUUUUCUACUAUCAUAAUCGUUUUAAUCUUGGUGUACUUAAAUGUUUAGACUACUUAUUAGCCUACAAUAACGUUCCUUGUCUAGAAGAGACUAUUUGCCCAGCAACUGACCGUUGUAUUCCCUCAUAGAUAGCCAUAGGGCCACCACCUAAACCAAUUAUUAUUGUCUCGACCACCUAAACCAAUUGUUGUCUCUUGCACUGUAUCUUCCGACUAGCAUUUCGCUUGCGAGCCCAGAUGCUAAAAGUAAAUAAAAAAAAUGAAAAUCGAGGUUGGUGGGGAGACAGAGAAUAGGAAAGGGAAAGUGCUCACGGGGGAAGUGCUCAUGAGACAAAGAGCAUCGUGGGAGGUGAGCCCGUGCUUUACAAAGCACUUUCUCGGGUCGUUCGCAUCUGCGACUGUGAGGCCCUGAGAAUUGAAGCGCCCUUCCUCUCUGACACCACCACAAGCUAGCAGAGCGGUAGAGCCAGCUUCCCAGUCGAGAUGGCCGAACUGAUGGCGAGCGCCGCCACGAGCGUGAUGGGGUCCGUCAUCGGCAAGCUGACUGCCAUGCUCGGCGAGAAGUACCAGUUCGCCGGAGGCGUGGAGAAAGGGAUCCGCUUCCUGAAGGAUGAGCUGAGCACCAUGGAUGCCGUGCUGCAGAAGCUCGCAGACAAGGACGACGACCAAAUGGAUCCAAUGGAUAAAGAUUGGAGGAACAAGGUGCGUGAGCUAUCCUUCGAUAUUGAGGAUUGCGUCGAUCGCUUCAUGCUCAAUCACAGCCACGGAGGUUCCAAGGCUAACGUUGUUCGCAAAGCCGUGCGUAAGGUGAAGAUGUUGUGGAAGGACCAGGGCAUAGCAGAGGAGAUCCAAGAACUCAAGAUACUCGUGACAGAGCAGAGUGAGCGGGCCAAACGCUACCGUGCGCUUGGAUCCUCGCCGCCUCACUAUCUCGCCGCCUCACCUCAGCCGGUGUGCUUGGAUCCUCGAGCAACUGCCCUUUUUCAGGAGGCGAGGGAUCCUGUGGGGAUUGAUGGUCCUCGCGAGGAAAUCAUCCAGUUACUACAAGUUGAAGAAAAUCAACACAAGGUGGUGUCCAUCUAUGGUACCGCUGGGCAGGGGAAGACUACUCUAGCCAUGGAGGUAUACCGAAAAAUCACACAAGCAUUUGAUUGCAGGGCUUUCGUGUCUGUAUCUCAGACUCUGGAUCUGAAGAAGCUACUCAGAGAUAUAUUGUCUCAAAUAGUAAGCACGAGCGAGUUUGACCAGUCGGAAAGGUGGGAGACGGAGCAGCUCGUUCGCAAAAUGAGAGACUACUUAAUUGAUAAGAGGUAACCAGAAUUACUUUCUUGUACUAUAAUAAUUAGCCAGUUCAUCUAGCUAUGGCAAUGUUGUGAGGUCUUUGUGGAUCACAUGAGCUCACCUAAUUUAUCGGCCAUUUUACGGUUGUAUUUUACGGACCCAUUCGAGCAUAAAACUACCACAUAUGCAUUUGUUACAUGAUUCCUCAACCAAUGCAUGCAGGUACUUCAUCUUGAUUGAUGAUAUCUGGCAUGUAUCAGAUUGGGAUCUUGUAGAAGCUGCCUUACCUCGCAAUGACAACGGAAGCAGAAUAAUUACUACAACACGCAGUAAAACAGUAGCCGAAACAUGUGCUGGUAUUGAUGCACAAAUGUACAAAGCAAAGCCACUUGGUGAUGACGAAUCUCGCAGAUUAUUCUUUAAAAGGCUAUUUCACUCAACUGAACAUUGUCCCCAAGAUUUGAUGGCAGUAUCCAGUGAUAUUUUGAGGAAAUGUGGGGGAUUACCAUUAGCCAUAAUCAGUAUAGCUGGUUUAUUAGCAAACAGAAGUAAAACCAAGGAAGUCUGGGUCAAUGCAUUGAAGUAUAUUUCUGCUGCAGUUGACAAAGAUUCUCACAUUGAUAAAAUGAAAAGAAUUUUUCUGCUUAGUUAUUUUGACCUUCCUCUUCAUCUAAAGAGCUGUAUGUUAUAUCUGAGCGUGUUCCUGGAGGAUUAUGUGAUUGAUUGUAGACAGUUGAUAUUGUUAUGGGUAGCCGAAGGACUGAUUCCUGGACAAGGCAGAGAAAAUAUGGAGCAGCUUGGGAGGAGUUACUUGAAUGAGCUAAUCAAUAGAAGCUUGGUCCAGCCAACCAAGGUUGGGUUAGAUGGCGCAACAGUGAAACAGUGCAGAGUUCAUGAUGUCAUACUUGAGUUUAUUGUAUCAAAGGCUGUGGAGGACAAUUUUGUUACUAUAUGGAAUCGUAAUGGGCUUUCUGAAAAUUAUUCUUCUAACAAGAUUCGCCGUUUAUCUAUCCAACAUGGCAUUUCUAUGCAGGCUGAAGAGAUGGUGAAGAUAAAAGAACAUGCAGCUCAUAUUCGAUCAAUUAAUAUUUUUGACCCUAAUUCAGUGCUGCUAAUUAAAGACACCUCUAUGUUUUUAAGUAGCCAAGUCUUGCGAGUGGUGAAUACAGAAAUCCGUCAGUUGUUACUUGAAGAUUGCUAUCUUGGACAUGCCAAAAGUUUUGGUCAAAUCAAGUACUUGAGGUUAAAAAUUAGGCCAUGCCACUGGAAACUCCCAAAAGAUAUAGAAAAGCUGCAACAUCUAGAGACACUAGAUGUUUGGAAUACCCGCAUUAAAAAACUACCGGCUAGCAUUACCCAACUGCAGAGAUUAGUGCUUCUUAUUGUCGGUACUAAGGUAAAACUACCUGAUGGGAUUGGAAAUCUGCAGGCAUUAGAAGAGCUAUCAAUGAUCAGUUUGGGUUUUCAAACUAUCAAAUUUAUCGAAGGACUCGGCGAUCUAACCAAUCUGAAGGUACUUGGAAUUAGCUGGGAGUACCCUUAUGCAAUAGGAUGUCACGUGGAAGUGGAAGGCCACAAGGAAGCAUGUAUCUCGUCACUCUCCAAGCUUGUCACAACCCUUCGAGAACUGCACGUCUUGGAUAGUUCUGAUGACACAUUUUCAUUCAUGGCUUCGUGUGGCUCUACUCCACCACCCCUUCGGAAGCUCAUUUUUCACGGAAUUGUCAUGCCCCAUCAAAUCAUCAGCUCGCUAGUCAACCUGACCCGCCUCUCUAUUGGACUAGUAAGCCAGGAAGGGAUAAAUAUCCUAGCAAGUUUGCCCAUGCUCCUCUCUAUUACUGUUCGCGUUUACGAGGGUAAUUUUGGAAUCAGGUAUACAAUCAGCAGUCAAGGAUUCCAGCGUUUAGUCAAGUUUACUUUCUACUAUCAUUCUGAUGGCGCGUUGGAGUUUGAGCCAGGAGCCGUGCCAAAGCUCCAAAGGCUCAAGCUGUACCUGGAGGCACGGGGUCAGUUCAAUUAUGAGCAAGGCGGCCUCGUCCUUGGGUUGCAGAAUCUGGCAGGCCUCAAACAUGUUGCUCUUCGUAUUGACUGUGAGCAUGCUACUCCUGACGAGGUGCAGGAUUUGGAGGAUGACAUCAGGGUUGCAGCAGGCGCCCAUCCCAACUGUCCCAUGGUCCAGCUGGUCGGAAAAGUAAAUCAAUAUCGUAUGGCUCAAGGGUGCAUCAGGCGCCCACGCGACCAUCCCAUGCUAGAAGCACAAUGACCAAGUAAAUGCAUGGUGUGGAGAAUAAAUAUCAUUAUCAAUGAUGAUCUUUUUUUUUCUAUUUCAAGAGCACGUUGGAAUUAAACAAGGUUAAUUCGAUUUGUUUUCAUCUUAGUUUUUGCUUUAUGACAACAUGUGCGCGCAUGUAGAUUGGCCUCUCGGAUCUAUGGAGUGCUGAUAUGUGUUGCUUGAUAUGAUGGUGUUGUGUCGAGGUGGGUUUGGGAUGUGUGCUCGGAGCGAAGGCAUUUGCCCUUCGUCGGGCCAACGAUGCUGACGCCUGUUGGUGCCACAUCCCUCUCUAUUGACUACGAAGGAGUGACUACGUUAAGCUCUUCCUCCAUAUAUGGAUUGUAGGUUGCUAGGUAAUUUUAAGACGUAUGUUGAGUUUAAGAUCUUAUGUUGUUUAUCAUGUACUGGAUCUCUUUCUUCUUUCUUUCUUUUAUAUUUCCUUUUGACAAGGUUGUGUGUUGUUGCAUAAGCGGCUGGAAUCUAAGCUUUCUUCGUCCAAAAGAAGAUUAUAUAAAACAACCAACAAAAGGGGGGCGGUUAAUCUCCUUCCCAAGAGGAUUGGGGAGGGGGGGGAUUUUGACUGAUAGGGGAUGUUUUGUAGAAGGAUGUGCACCUCAACAUAAGUAACAUGGAAUCUGUGGGUAUCCUUUUGACAACAUACCUUCAAACCACAUUUUAUGCGACAAUAAUCUUGUGCAAACCAUAUAUAGCUAUGCUCACCAUUUCUAGAACAAUGUUCAAUAGACUACCAUAUGCAUAUGAACGUGCACGAUGGAUAUUAGACACAAAACAUAGUAGUAGUAGUAUAACUUGCACAAAACUACAUUUAUGAUCUUUUGUAUUUGAGCCAGGAAGUUCUUUCAAAAGAUAACCCACAAGAAAGCACGCACUGGUCUUGUUGUGCACUAUACGUUAGGUGUUGCAAUUGUAUAUAAUCUCUUUUAUUUAUUUAGUUUGAACAACCAUGCAUGGCUAGGCACUUCCGAAAGUCUUCACUUAAAGUACUUGUCAAACCAUGCAUGGCUUGCUCAGCAGUUUUGACAGCAAGCAAAUCCAUGUGCAACUCCUGGAAAGACCUUGGCGUAGUAGGAAAUCUGCAAACAACCAAUGCCACAAAAAUGAGCUUUUCCAACUGAUAUAUAGUAUCCUCUAUGACGGAAUCACUAGGAACUCACCUCUGUUCUAUGACGCAAUACACUCACAUACUGGUACACUAGUUUUGGCAGUGCGACUUCGUCGUAUUGAGCUCCAAGGAUCUCGAUUGGACAUUUAACCAUUGUUUUGAAUGGUCAUAUAGUUAGCAUACGAAAUUAAGCACUUAAGUUCAGUUCCAAAGACAUCUCGAUCGAUGCUGUCUGGGAGGUUGCAAACACAAAGAAAAGGAGCAAACCUUUCAUGUCAUCAGUAGUCACAAUGUAAGGAUGAGAAAUGGAAACUACUUUAACAUCACUGGUUUUCCCCAUCUCCACACUGAACUUUCCUGUCAGUUACGCGGCAAUAGAAGAUAAGAAUUUUAUGCUCUGUAUGUUGCCUGAAGAAGGAUUUUGGAAGCUGGAAUUUCACUCACCACCCCAGCAAUAACCUCCCACCCCGAUGGACUUUCCUUCCUUUUUUAAAGCAGCAAAGAGUGGCUUGGCGUCUCUGGCAGCUUUUAACUGCCAGAUCGAUCGGAUACUCAAAUCAAUAUAUUUUCAACUCACGAUGCAAUGAGCAUAAGAUGAAAUUUGAAAGGGACAUGGAACAGACCGGGGAGUGAAGCUUUAUCCACUCUGAAAUGUUUUUACUUGAGUCUAAAUAAUCUCCAUUGAAGAAAUCAGGCACCACAACAAAGUAUCCAGCCUCGCUAACUUUAUCGGCUAUCUGUCUGCAUCAUUAAAAGAUCAAGAAAGGGAUGAACAAUAGCUAGUACAGAAAGGGAUUCUUGCGUCGUUGUACUCCAAACAAAAUGCAAUCUAUCUCAUAUGAGAAUUAACUUUCACCGGAUUGUCUUUUUUGGAAAAAAAAAACUGUACUGUAUUUUACUCUGUACAGAAGCACAAAGCAUUGUUAUUUUUUUAAAAAAUAUAGUCAAAUAAAAUUUGCUCUAGUUCUUCAAAGUCUCUAAAAUCAUUUGUUGAUAUUUAAAAGCAUUUUGCUAUGGUUAUGAUUGCGUUGCUACUUGCUACAAACAUCAUAAGGGAGUACUAAGCAGGAAAAAUCGAAAGCAUGCCAGCCGAAUGAUCUAGUUUUUCAAAGUCUCUAAAAUCUGGAGAGAUGCUAGUUGACCAAGAACAGAGCAUUUUGAUCUACGAUAGUAAGCCUGAGUAGAGCAAGAAAGAACACAAAAUUUGGGAAUUAAAAGACCGUAGAUAUAUUUAUGUACCUGAGUAAAGGUGCCUCGAACCCUGAGGAAAUCAAUCAAAUAGUGGAGAAAAAUUUCCUGUCAAAACGUACGCCCAAAUUGACUAGAAACUGCAGAAGUGUAGUACUACGGUCGAAACACCAACCGAAAACAUCGGAGGCGAGGACGAUGGCACGGCUUGAGCUUGCGGCUGAAGGACCGAAAGGGCGACUAGAGGGGGUGAAUGAGAGCCUAUAAAAAUUCUCAACAAAAAAAAGGUCUAUGUCCCAAAUGCAACCCCAAAGCACACAACACGUUGUAUCGUCAAGAUGACGCAAGUCAACUCGUGACAAGCUCACCCUAGGAACGAUACACGUAUCGAAAGCAAAGCUCAAAGUGAUCCGAAUACGUGCAUGACAUGGCGGAAGCAGAACAUAAAGUGACUCACAAUCAGAUUCAAGCAAGCCCACAAAAAACUUACUCAACUAAGCAUAAUUAGCAAGAGAUAAAACACAUUAAGUACUCAAGCAAGUGAACAAGUAUUAGUUGGCUAAGUUUUAGGAUUAAUAGAGGAUUAGAAAAGCUAAUUUAACACCGAACAACCAUGGAUUAGAACAGUGCUAUCAGCCAUGUGCAAGAACUAAUAAUGAUUCCUCAAACCAUUGAUCACUGUAGCUAGAAAGCAACUCUUCAUGGCAUGAAGGCACUACCCAGGGCCGGUCUGGAGAUUUGGGAGGUCCGGGGUGAAAGUAAAACUCGGACCCUUUAAUAUAAUAUUGAUAUAUAUGAAAUAUUACCAAUAAAUACUUAAAUGCAUCUAAAAACAAUAUUCAUAUUGAAUUAGAGGGUGUUUGGGAACACCGUGCUAAAAUUUAGCACCUGUCACAUUGGAUGUUUGAUACUAAUUAGGAGUAUUAAACAUAGUCUAAUUACAAAACUAAUUGCACAAAUGGAGUCUAAUUCGCAAGACGAAUCUACUAAGUCUAAUUAGUCCAUGAUUUGACAAUGUGGUGCUACAGUAACCAUUUGCUAAUGAUGGAUUAAUUAGCCUUAAUAGAUUCAUCUCGCGAAUUAGACUCCAUCUGUGCAAUUAGUUUUGUAAUUAGCUCAUGUUUAGUCCUUCUAAUUAGCAUCCGAAUAUCCGAUGUGACCCUACUAAAGUUUAGCACCUCGUAUCCAAACACCCCCUUACUUAUAUAUAUUACCUUAAAAGUUUCUUCUAACAUUCCUCGAAGCAAAGUCACUUAUGAUAGGGUUGAAGUCAAUCUCAUCCAACAAUUUCUUCUCGAUACAUAAUGUUGCCAAACCAUUUAACCUCUCCUGAGUUAUUGUUGACCUCAAAUAGUUUCUCAAUAACUUCAACUUUGAAAAACUUCUUUCAGCCGAUGCGAUAGUCACACACAGACACAGUAAAUAAGAGUCGGUAAGUAACUUUCAACCGAUGCGACAGUCACACAUAGUAAAUAAGAGUGGGUAAGCAAUGGAGAUAUUAGGAUAACAAUCCACAUCUCUGACAUGCUCAAAAAUCUCCAUAACAGACAUUACGCCAUCUGAUAAAGUGAAUUUUAUAAUCUUUAAUUCAGAAAUAAGAUCAUAUACCUCAACAUCAGAUGAACCAUCAAAAGACAACAUGAUAUUGCACAGUGCUGAAAUUAUUACAAAUACACAAUAGUUAUAAAUCAAAUAAAAUUAAAUAACUUGUGAUACUAAAUUAAUAAUUAAUGGUAUAGAAAAUUAAGAAAUUGGUAAUCGAGUAGUGUACCUGGGUGCCGGCGCAGUUGAAUAGGAAAAGUCUAAUCUCAUCCGGCAAAGUCGAACAGUAAAUAGAAUAACACGCGCACGAGACACAACUCUGGAGGGAUCACCGGGCGCAGCCGCACAGCACGACAGCGGCGGCAGCAGGGUAGCUUUUGGCGACGGCGCUAGGGCGUACGGCGUGUGCGAUCUAAUUGUUGCGGCGCCGGCCUUUAGGAAAGGCAGGCAUGAUCAUUAGCCUCACAUGGGUGGGGCCUGGUAUUUUGUUUCGUUUCUUCCUAUUAGGGCCUCCGAUUGUUUAGGGACUGUUUGGAUACGAGGUGCUAAACUUUAAAAGUGUCACAUCGGAUGUUCGGAUGCUAAUUAGGAUGACUAAACAUGAGCUAAUUAUAAAACUAAUUGCAGAACCUUGUGCUAAUUCGCGAGACGAAUCUAUUAAGCCUAAUUAAUCCAUCAUUAGCAAAUGGUUACUAUAGCACCACAUUGUCAAAUCGUGGACUAAGUAGGCUUAAUAGAUUCGUCUUCUGAAUUAUACUCCAUCUGUGCAAUUAGUUUUAUAAUUAGCUUAUGUUUAAUACUCCUAAUUAGCAUCCAAACAUCCGAUGUGACAGGUGUUAAACUUUAAUAGGGUGUUCCCAAACACCCCCUUAAUUGUUGGGCCUAUCACCAUUUGUGCAUCGCGUAUUUGCGUUCUGGGAGCCUCUGCGCCUGCGGCCUGCCUAGGUGCUGCACGCGCCUGACGCCUGCGGGUGGGGCCCCUGGGAGUUGGGGGCCCAGGCAGCCGCCCCCCUGCCCCGCCAGGGCCGGCCCUAGCCCUACUUGCUCCUUGCGCUGCUUGCCUGCUCGCUGCUUGGCUUGUCACCGUGCUUGCAACCUGGUCUGGCCCGCGACGCAUCAGCUACUCCUGGGUCGCAAGCUCCAGACGGCCUGCUAGCGAUCAGCACCUGGGGCAACCUGCCAGCUCACUGGGCUACCAGCAUGCGAAGGUUGCUGGGCCACUGCUUGCUUCCACCAGCCCGCGUGCCGCUCGCUGUGAACGGCGUGGCAGCAAGUGUAGCACUGCUCCGUCACCUGCGCACACGAACAGAAGGAAACGAAGAACAGAGAGAAGAACAGCCAGAACACCCAAGAACACACGUAACUUCGAAUCGUGAGAUCUCCUUCCGCACUCCACGCAUCAAGAUGAAACUUGACCCAAGGAUGCACUACCCCUAGGACAAAUAGAUCCAUGAGACAAAUCACGAAAAUCUCAAGUAUUCAUCGCAAAUCUUAGGGAAAAUCAAAACCCUAACUCAAACUCGGUUUUGGAAGAAACUCAAAAUUGAAGUCGGAUUCGUGAGAUAUUUGGAAGGGGAUCAUAUCAAAGAAGCUCCACGAAGUCCUAGCAACAUUCCCCUUCAACCAAACUCACGAGAUUCGGGCUCCAACAAGAUGAACGAAAAUUCUCAAAAAUGAGUCCGAAAAUAGGGAAAAAGAAAAACGCUCGGGAACAAAGAUUUUACAUGAUUAACAAACCACACUAAAUCAUGAGAGAAUCUUCUUUACAAAAGAGGGCCAGCCUCCUCCCUUCAUCCAACCACUAAAAGAUGAAGAAAUCAAGAGAAAAGAGUAAUCACUCUCUAGUCUCCCUCUCUCCUCUCACUUUAAGCAUAUGACUAGCCUCUAAGCCAAAAGAUAAUGAGUUGCUAAGCAAAGAGGUGCUGAAAUAACCAGCCCCCCAUCCCGACGAAAGACUAUACUACCCCUACAGCUAUAACUAAGAUAACUACCCACGCAGGGUAUUUUGGUCCAAGUUUUUAUCCGCGCUAAGACAAUACUACCCCUAUAGCUACAACUAAGACUAUAAUGUUUUCCUUUUUGUGGUCGAAAAGAUUAGAUAGAUAUUUUGUACUAUAGUUGCUCAUCACUCCAAUUAUGUACACUUCUUCGCACGUUAGGUCCCGUUUGGAUACCCUGCUAAAGUUUAGCACCUGUCACAUCAGAUGUUUGGAUCCUAAUUAGGAGUAUUAAACAUAGGCUAAUUACAAAAUUAAUUGCACAGAUGGAGUCUAAAUCACGAGAUGAAUCUAUUAAGCCUAAUUAGUUCAUGAUUUGAUAAUGUGGUGCUACAAUAACCAUUUGCUAAUGAUGGAUUAAUUAGGCUUAAUAGAUUCAUCUCGCGAAUUAGCACAUGAUUCUGCAAUUAGUUUUAUAAUUAGCUCAUGUUUAGUCCUCCUAAUUAGCAUCCGAUCAUCCGAUGUGACACUGCUAAAUUUUAGCACCUAAAUAUCCAAACACCCCCUUAUUUCAUUUUUGAUCUUGGAGUCGCCGCUGCCGACCUCGAGACUGGACUAGGGUGGCUGGCUUAAUCCCACCUUGCUGGGAUCAGCCUCCAUGGGGGCGACAGAUGCCACUGCCUAGGCAUGGUGGUGGUUGUUGCUGUAGCCAAGCGUUUGCAGGUGUACUGUGUCCCUGACAACAUGUGUGCGCAUGCAGAUUGGCCUCUCGGAUCUAUGGAGUGCUGAUAUGUGUUGCUUAAUGGUGUUGUGUCGAGGUAGGUUUGGGAUGUGUGCUCGGAGUGAAGGCCUUUGUCCUUCGCCAGCUGUCGGUGUUUUAGACCGGCAACCCGUCUAGGGGUACCCUAGGUGGUCUUUUAUGCGGUAAGGGUCGUCGAGAAUCAAGGAAUCAAUAGUGAUGCAAGGAACACGAUUUAGACAGGUUCGGGCCGCUAGAUCGCGUAAUACCCUACGUCCUGUGUGUUGGUUUGUAUUGACGUAUGUUCCGGUCCUGAGGGAUCUGUUUUGAGGGGGUCCCUGCCCGGCCUUAUAUACCCGGGAGGGCAGGGUUACAAGUCUGAGUCCUAGUCGGGUACUAUUACAGAGUUCUACUCGGUAUCAUCCCGAGUAAUUUUCCAUAAACAUACAAGACUAGUCCGAGUAGGAUACGCCCAUCCUUGUUCUGAUCACGUCCGAGUACAUCCUAUAGUGGGCCGUCCAAGGCCUACUCAUGGGUUUAGGGAGUAGUCCCGACAAGCCCCCGAGUACUUUGUAGUCGUGUGCCAUAGUCAGGCACUACAGGCACUACCCGAGUAAUUUUGCAGAUUGAAGUGCCCGAGUACUGUCGCGUGGCUGGAAGGUACUCUUUCUGUAGCUUCGAGUUGUCUCCAUCCCGAGUAGUUUUUAUAUGGUAGUGCGAUGUCAAUCGCACUCCAUAUGGAGUAGCCCCCGAGCCUUAGGUUGAGUCGAAGACUCAGGCUUAGGGUCAAACCAUCUUUUGCCCAUUUUACCCUCGGAGAUCUUGAAGAAGAAAAAACUGACCAACGGGUACGAUACCCGCAGCCCCCGAGCACUUAGGCGAUCCCUGUCGUUGAAGUGGUCAACAAUCCGUUGAAUGUAGUAACCGUUGGGUGUUUAUUGUGAUUAAUACGCAAUUUAAUCUGUCCGGUGCGCAACUGACGCGUCGAAUCCGGACCCGGCGGAGAUAAAUCUGGAAAACCCCCUUUUCAGUUGUUGUGACGCCGCACGGGCAUUAGAUCUGUUUUCUUCCUCCUCCUCUGUGCCUUCGCUCGCUGUCACCACCGCCAGUGCUGCCGCCUCCGCCAUUUCUGCUUAGAUUCGGGUGAAAACCUCAUAACUUGAGGUUGAGGCCUAGCGGAUGCGCUCCAAGAAGAUGGGUAAGAAACCUGAGAAGACCCAAGGCAAGGUUCCGGCAACGGGCAGGAUCAGAUCCAAGAAGGGGAAGGAGUUGGUGCUGCCGGCGCCGAAGGUGGGGCUGACGAACCAGACUGCUCCGUCGCCACCUGGGGCAACUUGGCAACAUUCAGUGAUGAAGGAGGAGGGAGUCCAGGCGCUAGUCGACGCCAAGCUCCUUCAACCGAAGGAAAUCGUGCAGUGGCGCCCCGCAUUCCCCAAUGCGUGGCAGUUCGAGGAACACCCGGCGGAGACGGUGAUGCUUGCUCUCUUCGUGGAAAGGGGACUGGCCGUGCCUACCUCCGACUUCUUCAGAGGUAUUCUCGAGUAUUACAGUCUUCAGCUCGUCCACUUGAAUCCCAAUGGAAUACUGCACAUGGCUAUAUUUGUACAUCUGUGCGAAGUGUUCCUGGGAGCACCUCCAAGCCUCGAGCUAUUCAGGAAGUUGUUCCGUUGCAAGCCUCAGCCGAGUGCCCAACGGACGGAGGUCUUUGGAGGUGCCGGGUUCCAACUCAGGAACUCGAAUGCAUACAUUGAGUAUAAUCUGACCGACUCCCAUGGGGACUGGAAGAAAAGGUGGUUCUACAUCGGGAACCAUGAUCCUCACCUGCCUAUGGUGACUGGUCAUGCGCCCAAGCAUGCGGAAAACUAGGUAAGCGAGCCUAAAGAUACUCCGGAACUUGAUCUUCAGAUGCAGCAGAUCACCGAGUUGAAAGUACUCGGUCUGACUGGGAUCAAUGUGGCAGCUAGCUUUCUGAAAAGAAGGGUCCAGCCGCUUCAGAAACGCGCUCACCUGGGAAGUGAAUACAAGGGUCUGAAAGAUCCAUCGCAUAUGUCUGAGGAGGACAUAUCUGAUGAUGACGUGGAGGUGCUGCUGGCAAAAUUUUUCAGGAACUAUCAGGGAGUACCAGCACUUCCUGCGGCCCUUCGCCAGUAUGAAUCCUGGUACGAGCCUGAGGUGGUAAGUAUUUCCGUCCUGACUUGUUUUCUGUUGACUUGUGAUUCGUGUUGCUGACACCGUUUUGUUUGUGUUAGAAGUCCCGAGUACUUGACGGCUAUGUGGCUCAGUCGGAAGAAGAAUCAGAGGCCGCCGUCGAGGAGUCAGAGGAAGAGCCUUCUCCCCCUGUCAAGAGGCGCAGAGUAAUCCGCAAGAUGGCCGCGGCUAAGUCUGUUGCAACCACUGAAAAGUCUCGGGGUACCAAGGUAUGUACUCGAUAAUCUUGUAUGUCACUGAAGAACUUUGAGAUGCUUGAUUGAUGUGGUGAAUCAUGUCUUGGUUUAUGAAGGUUGUAGAGGAGAUUGUCUCUGAAGAGAUAGUCGCGUCCGACCCUUAAGUCGGUGAGGUGGCCGUCGACAUAUUGCCGGAAGAAAUGCCGUCAACAGCUGUGGUAGCCCCCGAGUUAACCGCGCCAGCUCCGUCAGCUGCCGUGCCGCCCACUGCUAAUCAGGCGAUUCUGGCUGCCUGCUAGGAUGGCAAGGGAGGUGUCACCAGUACUUGCUACGGGCACCUUGCUGUCAAAUGUGGUCGCCAGCGGUAAGUGCUAUCCUUGUCAAAUGUAGUCAUUUGAGUAGUACUGUAGUCUUGAUGUUGGUUUUGUAGGUCUUGGUGAGAAAACGGCGCCGGCAGCUAUUCCCGCGGCUCCGAGUACUCGGCCACCUAUGGCCGAGAAGAAACGUGUGCGACUGCCGCCACGCUCAACCCGGUGAGUGCCCUUGUUCUCUUGAACAAUGUUGCAUUGGCUGGAAGUCAUGUAGUAACACUUUGGCGGUGCAGGGAUGCGGAGGAAACUAUCCCUGUAGAAACAGGGGUAGUACCGGACCCUUUGGCCACAACAUCUGUUCCUUUUGAGGACAUGAUUGUUGAAGAAGUUCCCGAGGUAGACCCGGGUCGUCUUGGAGCUACGAUGUCGAUGCUUCAAGACGUGAUUCGCUCAGUAGAGGAGCCUGCUGCUGCAUGAGGCUCGGGAAGUGCCGGCCUGUCCUCGUCCUCUAGCGGAGUGCUAGCAAUUGUUGAGAAGUCCAAACAAACGACUGCUCCAGGUAGGUGGCUGAAAUUUGUUAUUGUAGUCGUAGUCGGUAGCUAAUAUGGUGAAUGUUGUAGGUGUCGUUCUGGGUACAGCUUGUCUUGUGGGGAGUACCCAAAGGUCAGUACUCAAUCCGCCUUCUGACUUGGAGCUCCAGAGGGCCAUGGAUGUGUUCUGGGGCGUUCAGGUAAAUAUGGCUGUCAUUACUGCUUGACCCAAGUAGUCGUGCGGCGGAAAACUCACCACAGCGUACUUGGAUCUUUUCAGGAAAGAAACCACCAGGUGGAGCAAGAGUGCGCCCGACUGAAAGAAGCGCUUCGGGUUCAUCAAGUCGGGGCAAAAUCCUUUGCCGUGGAGCGCGCGGAUCACGCCGUUCUGCAGGAGAAAUUGGAGAGCCGCUAUAAAUCCUUGAACAAGAAGUAUCAAGGUAAGCAUUGCAACUGCUUUUGGGUGUGUCCAACUGUAGUUGGUUGUAGCCUGAGUUCCUUUUGUUUUGUAGAGCUCAAGAAACAGGAGGCGUCUACAAGGAAUUAGGUCAUUGAUUGGAGGAACGCUCAUGAUCAAGUGGCAAAUGAAGCCGAACAUCUUCGAGCCGCGCUCGCUGAAGCGGAAGCUGCAUGCGAGCACCAGCGGGACCGAAAGAUGCAGAACGGCGUGAUGCUUGCCAUGGCCAUGGUGGUGUGCAGGGAUCAUGCCCAGACCUUGGGAUGACUUCGUGGUGAACUACAAGAACUGUCCAGAGCUGCCGAAGAGUUGGUGAAUGCCAUAGCCCCCGUGGAAGACGCAGGGCCGCGAUCGCUAGUAGAGCGACUAAGAGCUGCCCCGAGUAAAGUAGCAGGACUUUGCAGGACUGUUUGCAAACAGGUACUUGCAGUUGUGAAGUCCUACUACACGAGGGCAGACUUGGCGGCGGUUGGAGAUGGCGUGGCUCGCAACUGCAUAGAGGAGGCCUAUGCGCAGUACCUUGAUGAGGCAGAGCCCAUUGCAGCCAAGAUGUCGGAGUUCGUCUUUUUAGAAGAACUUUGAGCUUUUGUGUGUACUCUUGUUCUUGUACCAAGUAUGUUGAUACUUUUGAAUAUCAAGAUGUUGGAAUUUGGGGUAUGUUUGUCUUGGAAAAAUGUUUGUUGAAACCCAAAGUUGUUGCAACUCUGCUGUGCCCGACCCUUUGAGGGUGUAGCACCGCCUCGCCCGACCCCGAGUCCUGGGGUCGGAUGCGCCCGACCCUUCGCGGGUGGAACUUCGCCUCGUCCGACCCCGAGUCCUGGGGUCAGAGGCGCCCGACCCCUCGCGGGUGGAACUUCGACUCGCCCGACCUUAGGUCCUAGGAUCGAAGUAGUCGGGGCCCCCGUCGUGUAGGCUAAACUUGGCUUGUAGUAGUCCCGAGUAUCGAGUAGUCGUAAUGCUGUUUGAGUACUCAUCUUCGGAGGGACAUGGAUGCACUGUACUCAGCUGUCCUUUGUUGCCGUACGGGUGUACUUAGCUCUUUUAUCCGUUGCGGAGGCACGGACGUACUGUACUCCUUUGUCUGUUGCAGCAUGAGUGCCGUCACAUGGGUGGAGUCAGGAGUCGUCAGACUCAUUGAUCGCGGGUACACAGUAACUCUUGGGCCGGUGGUAGUUGGAGCUUCCGGCUAUAAAUAGAGCCAUCUGGUGGGCGAGCCAACUCAAAACUCCUGAGUUGCAAUGGAUUGCCUGCGGUUGCUUCUGUUUGAGUGUAGAGAAUCAGCAAAGAGCGCACCGGUGCUAGAAGAUUCCUCGUAGAUUAAGGCCGCCUUGCCUCCACAGGCUCCUGCGCUCGUAGGGAUAGCCGCGAUGCUAGAAGAAUCCUCGUAGGAGGGUUCGUCGCUUGCCUCAUCUCGUAGCUACUGAUCCAGCGGAGUACGCGCUGGAACUCGCAGCGAGUGAUGGGUCAUGAGUGUCGCAGUCUUCAUCCCGCUUGGAAAGAUAGUGGGGGUGCGGCCGUGGAGUAGAUAGGCUUCGCAAGGCUAGCAAAAGAGCAGCCUUGGUUCCCUCUAGGUGUGUCUUCCCGGUUUUGACGUUGCCGUUGUCCUAGUGAUGGCGGUAAUGGAGUACCUGUACGUGCCUUAGGUAGGAUACCAGGGCGUUGCAGCGUUUUGCGCAGCUUCCUUGCGUGUAGGCCCCUCCUGCGGUCGGCAGACCUGAGUGGCCUUGUGAUAUAGUAAAAGCCUGAGACUUAAAUGCAGCCCGCCAGUAGGCAGGUGCUUGUAGUCUUUGUUGAGCUGAAUCCUUGUACUCAUAUGUAAUGUGAUGUACUUCUUGUUUCAAAAAAGAAGAGUUUCCUUUGUUGUAUUGAUAGCGCGUUGAAGCGAACACCCUUUGAAGUUAAUAACCGAGUAGCCGUCCCGAGUAGUCGCCUGGAAGUGAGUACUUGAGUGCUGCUAUGGGUAAUAGCGACAAAGGUGUUCUAUAUUCCAAGAGUUAGGGACUUGUUCGCCUGAGAGCUCUUGGAGUCUAUAAGAUCCAGGUCUUGUAACUUUUGAUACGAUGUAAGGGCCUUCCCAUGGUGAAUUGAGUUUGUGCAAUCCUGAUGUGUCUUGAAUACACUUAAGGACCAUAUCACCCGAGUUAAAAGACCUUUCCUUGACGUUGUGAUUGUGGUAACGCCUUAAACCGUCAAGGUAUCUGGCAGAUUGCACCAGUGCUGCGCAUCUUGCUUCUUCCAAACUGUCGAUAUCUGUACGCCGUGUUUCUAUGGCAAGCUCUUCGUCAUAUUGUUCGACGGAUGGUGAUUGCCACAUGAUGUCGGCGGGUAUGAUGGCUUCGGAGCCAUAUACCAGGAAGUAAGGUGAUAGCCCUGUAGUCUUGCAUGGUUGGGUACGUAGGCCCCACAAGGCAUUGGGUAACUUUUUGAGCCAUCAGCCGCCUUUGGUGUUGCCGACAUCAUGUAGUCGUUUCUUCAGAGCAUCGAGUAUCAUGCCAUUGGCACGCUCGACUUGACCAUUGGCUCGCGGAUGAGCAACCGAGACAUAGCGGACGUCGAUGCCGCUAUUCUCGCAAUACUCCCAGAAGUCAUGAUUGUUGAAGUUUGACCUGAGAUCGGUGAUAAUCCUGUUGGGAAAACCAUAACGAUGUACGAUUUCAUCCAAGAAGUCGAGAACUCGGUCUGCCUUUGGACAAGUGUCUGGUUUGACCUCGAUCCACUUGGUGAACUUGUCGAUUGCCACGAGUACUCUGUUGAAUCCUCCUGGCGCGGUUGGUAACGGGCCAAUCAUGUCAAGCCCCCAGCAGGCAAAUGGCCAUGUUGGAGGUAUUGUGACUAGCUUGUAAGCCGGCACAUGUUGCUGUUUUGUGAAGAAUUGGCAACCUUUGCACUUCUGGACGAGUUGCUUGGCGUCAGCCAGAGCCAUUGGCUAGUAGAACCCUGCUCUGAAGGCCUUGCCGACUAUUGUUCUCGAAGAGGCGUGGUUUCCACAGAUUCCUCUGUGAAUUUCUUCUAAGAUUUCUUAGCCAUCUUCUCUAGUAACGCACUUCAUGAGUACUCCAGACGAUGCGCCCUUCCUAUAGAGCUUUUCUCCGACUAGAACAUAAUUUUUGACCCGUUGGGAGAUUUGCUCGGCUUUAUUCUUAUCAGAUGGUAGCUGGUGAUCUUUGAUGUAGUCGAUGAAGGGUGUCCUCCAGUCGACUUCUAUCAUCAUGAUCUCUCGAGAGGCGUCAGUAGUCGGGACUACUGGCGGUAGGACCUGCUCGGGUAUGGAUGGCUUGCGUAACUCGUGUACGAAAAUUCCUGCUGGAACUUCCGCACAAGUUGAGCCCAUUUUGGAUAAGACGUCGGCGGCAACGUUGUUGUCACGAACGAUGUGAUGGAACUCCAAGCCGGAGAAUUUGUUUUCCAAUUUACGGACUUCUUUGCAGUAAGCGUCCAUAUUGUCCUUGUUGUGGUCCCACUCGUCGUUGACCUGGUUUAUGAUGACUAGUGAGUCGCCAUACACCAGUAGUCGUUUGAUGCCGAGGGAGAUCGUAAGGCGAAGGCCGUGUAGCAGUGCUUUGUACUCGGCUUCGUUAUUGGAUGCUUCCCAGAAUAUUUGCAGCACGUACUUGAGUUGGUCUCCUUUGGGGGAGAUGAGUAAGACGCCUGCACCGGCACCUUCCAGUUUGAGGGAUCCGUCGAAGUACAUUACCCAAUGCUCUGGUCGCUCAAUUGGAGUUGGAAUUUGAUUUUCGGUCCACUCGGCUAUGAAGUCGACCAAAGCCUAAGACUUGAUGACUGUCCUCGGCUUGAAGCUCAAAGUAAGAGCCCCGAGUUCAACUGCCCAUUUGGAGAUUCUACCCGUGGCAUCUCUGUUAUGGAGAAUUUCGCCAAGCGGGAAGUCGGAGAUGACUAUGAUGCUAUGCUCUUGGAAGUAAUGGCGUAGCUUCCGGGAGGUGAGCAGAAUGGCAUAUAAGAGUUUUUGUAUCAGUGGAUACCGAGUUUUGGAGUCCGAGAGUACUUCGCUGACGAAGUAGACAGGUCGUUGAACCUUAUAGGCGUGGCCCGGUUCAGACCGUUCGACUACUAUUGCCGUGCUGACGACAUGAGUAGUAGCAGAGAUGUAUAGGAGCAAGUCCUCAUUCGGCGAGGGAGCGAUGAGUACAAGAGGCUUUGACAGAAAGUCUUUGAGUUGUGUCAAUGCCUUGUCUGCCUCUUCCGUCCAUUUGAACUUGUCCUGGCGUUUGUGAAGCUUGAAGAAGGGUAGUCCUCGUUCUCCAAGUCUCGAGAUGAAUCGGUUGAGAGCGGCCAUGCAGCCGGUGAGUUUCUGCACAUCUUUAAUGCUAGCGGGAGCCUGCAUGUUUGUGAUGGAAGAUAUCUUCUUAGGGUUGGCCUCAAUGCCGCGAUGGCUAAUGAUGAACCCGAGUAGUUUGCCCGAAGGUACUCCGAAGACACACUUGGUAGGAUUGAGUUUCCAUCGAAAAGCGCGGAGACUGGAGAAAGUUUCCUCCAAGUCAGCGAUGAGUUCCUCCCGGUGUCUUGUUUUGACGACGACAUCAUCAACAUAAGCUUCGACAUUGCGAUGAAGUUAUUUUUCAAAGCACAUCUGUAUGGCCCUUUGGUAAGUUGCUCCUGCGUUCUUGAGUCCGAAGGACAUUGUUUUGUAGCAGAAGGCUCCAAAGGGUGUGAUGAACGCUGUUUUGGCUUGAUCUUUCUCUUUGAGGCUUAUCUGAUGAUAGCCGGAGUAGCAAUUGAGGAAGCAUAGCAAGGCGCACCCAGCGGUGGAGUCGACCACUUAAUCAAUCCUGGGUAACCCGAAAGGAUCUUUCGAGCAAUGUUUGUUGAGGUCGGUGUAGUCGACACACAUUCUCCAUUCGUUGUUUUUCUUGCGAACAAGCACAGGAUUGGCGAGCCAGUCAGGAUGGAAGACUUCCUUGAUGAAUCCUGCCGCGAGUAGCUUGGCUAACUCUUUUUUGAUGGCAUCGCGUCUGUCCUGAGUGAAACGGCGUAGUUGUUGCCGUUUGGGAGUAGCUUUGGGAUCAACAUUAAGGGAGUGUUCGAUCAGUUCCUUGGGCACACCUGGCAUGUCGGCCGGCUUCCAAGCGAAGAUAUCGUGGUUAGCCCGAAGGAAACUGACGAGCGCGAGUUCCUAUUUAGGAUCCAGCCCUGUUCGGAUCAGGACCGUCUUGGAAGGAUCACCGGUCUGGAGGUCGAUUGAUUUGAAGUCUUGCUCACUGGCGGGUUUCACCUUUGUGGAGCCCGACUUGUUUUCCGGGAUCUCGAGUUCAGUUGGAUGGAGUUUCUUUGAAGCUGUGAAGACUUGCUGCAUGGGACUAGGAGAUUGAGUAGUCGCAGCAAUUUCCACGACUUCGGUGUCACACUCGUAGGAUCUCCGGAGAUCUCCUCGUAGCGUGAGCUCUCCUUUGGGACCUGGCAUCUUUAGUACCAGGUAGACGUAAUGUGGUAUGGCCAUGAACUUGGCUAGUGCUGGCCGCCCGAGUAUGGCAUGAUAAGAUGUGUCGAAGUUGGCAACCUCGAAUCUGAUGUACUCGGUGCGAUAAUGUUCCUUAGUGCCGAAGGUGACUGGGAGGACAACUUGCCCCAAUGGUAUGGCCGUGUUUCCAGGCACAAUGUCGUAAAAAGGUGAAUCCGUUGGAGUAAGCAUGUCCGUGACGUCGAGGCACAUUUUUCUUAAUGUUUUGGCGAAGAUGACGUUGAGACCGCUCCCGCCAUCGAUGAGUACUUUGGUUAACUUGGAACCGGCCACAACUGGAUCCAAGAUUAGUGGGAAAUGGCCGGGUUCUGAAAAUUUUGUCCAUUGAUCCUUUCUGCUGAAAGAAAUUGUAACUUCCGACCAUUUUAGCGGUGUGGGGUCCGUCAGCUCGAUAGCCAUGAUCUCCCGGAGUACAAGUUUGUUGGCUCGCUUGGAUGCUGUACCAGGGAUGCCACCAAAAAUGACGUUGACGGUUUUUGAGGCUGGUUGGAAAUCACCAUCUUCAUCUUCGUCAUUGCGGGCUUUGUUUUUUUCCCUUGUCUCUGUUUUUGGCGUAGUCUUCAGGAGUUGGUGGUGCUGGUAAUUCUUGCAUGACACGGCGCAUGCUAUAACAGUCCAAUGCGGAGUGCUUGCUAGUCGGAUGCCAUGGGCACUGCUUUUUGAGUAGCUCCGUGAAGGUUGGUCCAUCGUCGUUUCUGCGUUGUCCCUUUUUCCCGGAGCUGGUCAUGGUGGCAACAAUAUUGUCGGGCUUCCUUUUGCGAUUAUGAUUACCUGGAUAGGAAUUCCGAGCAUCAUUAUGACGAGGUUUAUCUGAAUCAUUGUUGUGGGUGUUGUCGCGUCCGCGGUUACGGUGGGAACCGAACCGUUCGCGUUCUUUGUCUUCUUCAUCGGCCCACUGUUGCACCAUGAGCUUGAGUUCUUUGACAUCGACUGGCCGUCAGCGACCGAAGCCUUGGUAAGUUCGUCGAUCGUAGAGUCCGUUUUGGAACACUCGAUGACGUCUGCUUCGGAGAUGUCUAUGAUGGUAGCCUUCUUUUCAAAAAACCGUCUCAGGUAGUCGCGCAAAGUUUGGCCCUCUCUCUGCUUAAUUUGUUGUAAGUCAAUCUUGUUGCCUAGUCUAGCCAUGGAGCCGGCGAAGUUGUUGGUAAAAGCCUUUGUCAAGUUUGCCCAGGAGUCGAUGGACUUGGGUUUAAGUGACUCGAGCCAGGUCAGUGGUGCGGGUUCCAUGCAUAUGGGAAAAUGAAUGACUUUGGUGUCGUUCCUAGCGCCGUUAUCCCGGUCACUUCCAUUAGCUCCACCGCACGACGACGCCCGCCUCCGCCAAAUCUCAACCACCGGCAAACCCGCGCCUGCGCCGCCCUGACGCCAGAGCCCAAUGACUGCCGGCGUCAUCCCCGAAGUCCUGCUCCACCGCCCUCGUCGCUCAAUUGCCGCCCGGGCAGAGCACUCCAUUACUUCUUCCCCGGUCUUCGCGCCGCUCCCCUUCUCACUCCCGCGCCACUAUAAAAGGGAAUGCGCGAGCCCCUCCGGAGUCCGCCAUCGCUACCCUCCCGCCAUUUCUCUUGCUCCCUGUUCGAGCUCCAAGCGCCAUCACACUGAGUCCCUGUGGAACUCUCCUCUCCGCUCCACACCGCUUUCCCCCAAUCCACACAGCCGCUUGCUCCUCCGUGCUGUGUAAGAGCUUACUUGUGGUCCACAAGAAGCACCGCCAGACAUCGCCGCUGCAAGCCUUAGUGUUCCAGUUCCUCCGCCCGAACCUGCUCUUUCCCAACCCCAAGCUUUCCUUGUAAGACGAAGGUAAGCUGCUGACCCCUUGUCCGCCUCGUCUGACCCUUCUGUUCGUCCGACCCCUUGUCCGCCUCGUCCGACCCCUUUUCCGUCUCGCCCGACCCUGUCUGUUCCGCCGACCCUUUUCCGCCUCGCCCGAGGACUCGGCUGUAUCUUUUCUUUGAACCGAGGGUGUAUGUGUAAAACUUGGGGACCCUUCAGCGUUGAGUCUGAGGACCCCUAGCACACCAAAUCCUCUAGAUUAAGGGUCAGAUCAUAAGUUCCUUUCCUCCGACCCUUACCUCUUGAUCUCCAUCAACUCCAUUGAACUUUCCCACCCUCCUGUAUCUUGUCGCAAGUUUCUGGGCUCAGACUUGCAAGUGUUGCUGUUGAAAUAACCGUCUAUACUAACUAAUGCAUUGCAUUCGUGUAGAGCUGCGUCUCGCCGACGGCUACUACGAGCUGCACCCGACGCUAGAAGACGAAGCUAUAGCCGAGCUCCUGCCCCCAGAAGCCGAAGCUACCCCAGAAGUCGAGCAGUUCCCUUCCUCUUUGCUUGAAGGCAAGCCCCGGAUGCAUGAAACCCCUACGUUUUCCAAACUUGCGCAUGCCUCCUUUAACAUGCUUGUGCAUUUACGUAUAGGAGUUGUUUGGAACCCUAGAUGCAUGACUUAGCUCCCAUGAUCUGAACACUAGCUGUUGGACCGAGUAGAUGCUUUGCUUAAAUAUGAGACGGUAAAAGCCGAGUGAUUUCCUGUCACUCACGAGUUGUAGGAGUUGGAUGUCUACCCUUCUGCUACAACUAUAAGGACGAUGGACGGGGCAGGGUUUGAGGUAAUUCUUUAGUGGACGGAUGAUUGCCCCGUCUGUCUAUGAAACUUGCUAAGGCCAGACAGUGGUGGUGUUCGUGAUCAAGUGUUUGAAGGUACUAAUCUCAUACCUAGUAUGGGAUGGGGAAGCCUAGUACCUGAUUGAACUAGGGCGUGGCUUAUACCCCUGCUGUCCCUGGAACGAGGUUCCCAUGGUGCAUUAUGUGGGUGCAAGUGCGGUCACAGUACGGUAGAGGCCGGGACUGUGGAGCAUUGCAUGCCAAGGGAACUUUGGACCUGACACGCGCCUGGGAAUUGAUGGGGACGGCCGACACAGGAAGCGGCCCUUGUGGUGCGCGGAUGUCGUGAGAUUAGGUUCGCCAUGCAUGGUUAAGAAACUCGAAUCGAUUCGUCUGCCUCUCACAGUUUGAGACUGCUUGAUCGCUAUGUCACCCUGAGUAAAUAAGGAAUCUGAUGAUGACAUGGUUUUGUUGAUGAUAUAUAUACCUUUGGUUGGUUCCAUGAUUGCUUAGAAUAGGUUGCAAACUUAGACCGGAUAAUGAACUUAGAACCGGAGCUAAAACUUGAAAGUAGGGUUACACAUAGUGCUUUUGGCAAACAAACCCCUCAGCCAAAAAGCCUUGCAUGUCUAGAAUUGGAGGAGUAGCUUUACUCCUGUCGGUUAAGUCUUGUUGAGCUCAGUAGCUCAGCCUUGUUGUGGCUUUUCUUUUCAGGUGAAGUUGCUACUCCCGAGCCUUCUUCCGUUGGCACUUGGCCGCCCCAGCUCCCUCCGGGUUGGACGGUCGAGUGGGAUCCCUCCUCGGACGGCGAGGAAAGGGAUCACUGACGUCUUGGCUGGCCUCACCAAGGACGUCCGACCCCUGCGUUAGCUUCCGCUAGUGUUUUACCUUCUGUUGUUUUUCUUUUGAACCUUGUAAACUCUGAUGUGUUUUGGUGGCCAAACUAAAUGGGUAAUUUUGUUAACUCGGUGGACUUGUUGUAUUCUCUGGAACCACUCACCUUCGUGUGAGUUUGCUAACUCGAUCCUGUUCAAGUGGUUAAUCGGAUGAAAUCCGAUGGCACUUCGUGUUAACUUGGCUUAGGCAUGGGUGUCGCAUGUUAGGCGGCUUAACCCUGUUUAAUCAACCUAAUCCGAAGUGGAUCCACCACAGAUACACCCAUCCUUGUUCUGAUCACGUCCGAGUACGUCCUAUAGUGGGCCGUCCAAGGCCUACUCGUGGGUCUGGGGAGUAGUCCCGACACCAGCCAACGAUGGUGACGCCUGUUGGUGCCACAUCCCUCUCUAUUGAUAACGAAGGAGUGACUAUGUUAAGCUCUUCCUCCAUAUAUGGAUUGUAGGUUGCUAGGUAAUUUUGAGACGUAUGUUGAGUUUAAGAUCUUAUGUUGUUUAUCAUUUAUUGGAUAACUUUCUUCUUUCUCUCUUAUAUUUCCUUCUAACAAGGUUGUGAGUACUACCUUGUUACAUAGGCUAGAAUCUAAGCUUUCUUCAUCCAAAAGAAGAUUAUAUAAAAUAACCAGAAAGAAACAAAAGGGGGCGGUUAAUCUCCUUCCCAAGGGGAUUGGGGUGGGGGAGAGGGGGAUGGGGAUUUUGACUGGUAGGGAAUGUUUUGCAGGAGGAUGUGCACCUCAACAUAAAGUAACAUGGAAUCUGUGGAUACACUUUUGGCAACAUACCUUCAAACCACAUUCUAUGCAACAAUAAUCUUGUGCAAACCAUAUAUAGCUAUGCCCACCAUUUAUAGAACAAUGUUCAAUAGACUACCAUAUGCAUAUGAACGUGCACGAUGCACUACGAGAAUGUCCAAGUUUGCCGUGUGUCCACGGCACACGGCGAAGCUAAAAAAACCUCAGCAAAGCCUUUGUUGAGUGGGCGUACACAGUACCGGUAAAAAUUUCUUUGUCGAGUGUUUUUUAUCGGACACUCAGCAAAGACUUUUUUUUGAAGAAACAGGAGGGGAGACCCCUACUGAAUUUAUUAAAGAGCUAAACAACAAAACGGUUCGAAUACAAAUCAAGACCGAGAGAUCAAAAAUAAAAUAAAAUAAAGCAAGAAUCAAAAGUAAGAACUGGGAACAAGAUUUACAGGGAAUCUACCCAAGCUAACAUAAGUGACUGGAUCUGGAUCUUGACCCUAUGAAGAGCUACCAGGCAAAAUUCCGAGACAAAUUUCCGUUUGACGUCCCUGAUCAUCGGAGCAGAAUUAUUGAAGAGCAAAGACUUUGCCAGUGCUAAAACUCACGCUCGGAAAAAAAAAGCAACAUGACGGUGCGAAAACGGUCAUGGCACGUUUGCCGAGUGUCUAAUGGUAUGGACACUCGGCAAAUAUGCCCUGUUUGCCGAGUGUCCACGGAAAAAAUCCUCGACAAACAUGAGUCAUUUUGGACUUUAGGCACAAUUUCCUAAAGGAACACCAGAAAUUUCACAUAAAUUUUCACAUUAGCUGUGUAAAUAAUAGCAAAGUUCUUGCAAGGUGACCAUACUUGCAAGGUAUGCUCGUACAUGUUCAAAUUUGUUGUAAAUCUGCAGUUACAGUCCGAACAUAUAAUGACCUGAACAGCAAAAAGAUCUGCCUCGACAGCACCAAGGGAGGUUGUCACGUAGCGCGCAGGUCACUCCGCGCACGUUAGCGCUGCUGUAAUUAAGCACCUAACGUCUAGUUAAGGCGGUACCAUCAGAAUAAUCGUGUUACACGGCCAGGUAGCUAAGCUGAGCGACGACGACGACGACGACUUUGAUCUGAUGAGGGCAACCCAGUGCGGUAGAAAAAACGGGGGGCCCUGGCGUGGCGUCCCUGUAGGAAAUGGGGAACGUGUGCCACGCCACACAUGCACGCGUGCGUGCUUAAUUUCAAGGGAAUCAAAUUCUGCACUCGUCCGGCUAGUCUCACUCUCACACCUGACCAUCAUCAGCGAACUAAGAAUGAAGCGAACCUUUCAAGGCCACGCACAUUUUAUAAACCGCUUGAGAACACACUUGUACUAAUGAGUUUUCUGUCACAUGAUCCAACAGAUGGUGAUCUUGGCCACGACGAACGACGAUACGAUACACUCGCUACGGUACUACCUGCAGAGAUUCUUGACCUGCUGCCAUUCGUUUCUCGCGCUGGCACGCAGCCUGGUCGUGAUCCUGUGUGCUUUUGCUUGCAGAUGGCGGUUUGAGAUCCUGGAGAUCCAAAUCCUCUCCGCGAUUCUGGUAGUCGUAGGGAGGCUCAGGCUCAGAUAGCUACCAGCCAGCAGGUCGCGCGCGCGCGGGACCUCGCCUCGCACGCCCCUCGAAGCGCGCACGCCAUUGCUGCGUCCCCGCGACUUCCACCGCAGGCAGGAGGGAGAGGGACCGAGGGAGUAGUGCCUGCACCAACUCCCUGGGGGCCGCGGCCAACCGCAGCGCGACGUGUGUCCACUCCGACACGGCGGGGGGGCGGGGAGGAGUAAAGAAACCGGGCAGCGCGGGCCACGACCCCACGAAACGCCGACGACUAGUUUACUGUAGCAACACAUUGUCAAAUCAUGGACUAAUUAGGCUUAAUAGAUUCGUCUCGCCGUUUAGCCUCCACUUAUGUAAUCGGUUUUGUAAAUAGUCUACGUUUAAUACUCCUAAUUAGUAUCUAAACAUUCGAUGUGACGGGUGCUUAAAUUUAAGCAAGUGAACCAAACCAGGCCUAUAUGCGGCCGCUACGCUACGUACUCCAGCCGGGACAGAAGGAAUCCGGCCACACCUUCAAAAAAAAAAAAAAACAGGAACCUGGGCACCGAGCGAGCCCUUGACCAAGUCCACGUGGUCCAGACAAGCCCACUAGCCACUGGGAAAUUCGACCCCACAGGAAAUAUACCGGGCACUACCAAAACUAGUCAUUGAAAUCAUAUACCGGGCACUUUUGGAGAUGCUAUAACUGAUAAUCUAGUACAUAUAUCUUGAACAUUAUUUUUUUUAAAAAUCUGGUCGGUAGCGACUCAAAACCUCUUUUAAUUUUUUCUACUAUCAUAAUCGUUUUAAUCUUGGUGUACUUAAAUGUUUAGACUACUUAUUAGCCUACAAUAACGUUCAGAGACUAUUUGCCCAGCAACUGACCGUUGUAUUCCCUCAUAGAUAGCCAUAGGGCCACCACCUAAACCAAUUAUUAUUGUCUCGACCACCUAAACCAAGUAAAUAAAAAAUUGAAAAUCGGGGUUGGUGGGGAGACAAAGAGAAUAGGAAAGGGAAAGUGCUCGUGGGGGAAAGAGCAUCGUGGGAGGUGAGGCCGUGCUUUACAAAGCACUUUCCCAUCUGCGACUGUGAGGCCCUGAGAAUUGAAGCGUCCUUCCUCUCUGACACCACCACAAGCUAGCAGAGCGGUAGAGCCAGCAGCUUCCCAGUCGAGAUGGCCGAACUGAUGGCGAGCGCCGCCACGAGCGUGAUGGGGUCCGUCAUCGGCAAGCUGACUGCCAUGCUCGGCGAGAAGUACCAGUUCGCCAGAGACGUGGAGCAAGGGAUCCGCUUCCUGAAGGAUGAGCUGAGCACCAUGGAUGCCGUGCUGCAGAAGCUCGCAGACAAGGACGACGACCAAAUGGAUCCAAUGGAUAAAGAUUGGAGGAACAAGGUGCGUGAGCUAUCCUUCGAUAUUGAGGAUUGCGUCGAUCGCUUCAUGCUCAAUCACAGCCAUGGAGGUUCCAAGGCUAACUUUGUUCGCAAAGCCGUGCGUAAGGUGAAGAUGUUGUGGGAGGACCAGGGCAUAGCAGGGGAAAUCCAAAAACUCAAGAUACUCGUGACAGAGCAGAGUGAGCGGGCCAAACGCUACCCUGUGGGAAUGCGGUGCGACUCACCUCAGCCGGUGCGCUUGGAUCCUCGAGCAACUGCCCUCUUUCAGGAGGCGAGGGAUCCUGUGGGAAUUGAUGGUCCUCGCGAGGAAAUCAUCCAGCUAUUACAAGUUGAAGAAAAUCAGCACAAGGUGGUGUCCAUCUAUGGUACCGCUGGGCAGGGGAAGACUACUCUAGCCAUGGAGGUAUACCGAAAAAUCCCACAAGCAUUUGAUUGCAGGGCUUUCGUGUCUGUAUCUCAGACUCUGGAUAUGAAGAAUCUACUCAGAGAUAUAUUGUCUCAAAUAGUAAGCAAGAGCGAGUUUGACCAGUUGCAGUCGGAAAAUUGGGAGACGCUGCAGCUCAUACGCAAAAUGAGAGGCUACUUAAUUGGCAAGAGGUAACCAGAAUUACUUUCUUGUACUAUAAUAAUUAGCCAGUUCAUCUAGCUAUGGCAAUGUUGUGAGGUCUUUGUCGAUCACAUGAGCUCACCUAAUUUAUCGGCCAUUUUACGAUUGUAUUUUACGGACCCAUUCGAGCAUAAAACUACCACAUAUGCAUUUGUUACAUGACUUCAGCUGUUCAACAUAUCUACCAAAAGCCAUCGCUAAAUAUCUUACAACAACGUCAAGUCAACUGCUCAUGAAUGUAGGCGUAUGUGGUUGGAGUUGGCCUGUACUAUACUAUACAAAACGAUUGUGUGCGAAUGAUAUUUGAGUAGAAAAUUAUUUACUCUAUACCAUCAAAUAAUUCCAGAUUCAGUAAAAUUAUUUCUUGAUAACUUCAACCAUGUUUGUUUUGUAUAGCCAUUCUAAAUAUCCAUAAAAAUCUUCUUUAAAAAUUAAGUUUUCAAACUGAACGCUUCUUGUUUUUCAGUGGGCCUCAUGUGGAGGAAGCUACUCUUUUGCAGGUUGUAGACAGAUUCUUUUCCGAUAAUAGAGGAAAUAGUUUCCAGCGUCUAUUCCUAGCACGUGUAAUACGAAUUGACAGAAAAAAUGUGCCACCACUAUCCAUCUCUUUACUUUUCUCCAAUAUCUUUCACCAUGAUAUGCUCUAUAUGUUGAAUAGUUAUGGUGGCCUUGUAACAUGAUUCCUCAACCAAUGCAUGCAGGUACUUCAUCUUGAUUGAUGAUAUCUGGCAUGUAUCAGAUUGGGAUCUUGUAGAAGCUGCCUUACCUCGCAAUGACAACGGAAGCAGAAUAAUUACUACAACACGCAGUAAAACAGUAGCCGAAACAUGUGCUGGUACUGAUGCACAAAUGUACAAAGCAAAGCCACUUGGUGAUGACGAUUCUCGCAGAUUAUUCUUUAAAAGGCUAUUUCACU